rnacentral:sRNA from 1 species
UGGAGGGGAAGCCACAGUUGAUGCCGGU